GCGGGUUGGAACUUGCAGCAUUACCCAUAUUCUUCCCACUUAGUGUGCCUGCACAGUUUGUGUUAGACUCUAACACAAAAGGUAUAGUUUUGGGAGGACUCAAUGGUUAAUCACUUGAGGUGUUGAGAUUUGAAAUUCACUUGAUUAAUCAACUUUGAUAACAUAUUAGUUUGAGUUUUUUUUUUUUUUGGAAGAAAUAACAUAUUAGUUUGAGAUCAAACCUUUACCAUAUAUUUAAGAGAUUCAGUUUUCU
rnacentral:lncRNA from 1 species